rnacentral:sRNA from 1 species
ACUUAGCCCAGAUUGAAACGGCAUCCUUUUUUGAGGUACGAAAAAAAGAUAUAGUGGAAAGCUGGAAAUAGC